CGGCGGCCCCGCCCCUUGGGUCUCGCCCUCCCACCCCCACCCGCGUCCCACGACGGGAAGAAAACCGAAUGCAGAUCUGAUUGUGAUUUGUCAUCCCACUAACAAGUUAGCACCCACAGCUUAAGAAAACAGUGUGUUGCAGUACCCUUCUAUCUCCAAGGCCCUGUACUUUCCUUAGCGUGAAGUUUGCAAUCAGUAAUUGGUACUGCACCUGUGGGACGCCCAGGUGGCUCAUCAGUUGAGCGAACACCUUCAGCCCAGGGCAUGAUCCUAGAACCCGGGAUUGGGUCCCGCAUCAGGCUCCCUGCAUGGAGCCUGCUUCUCCCUCUGGCUGUGUCUCUGCCUUUCUCUGUGUGUGUUUCUCAUGAAUAAAUAAAUAAAACUCUUUAAAAAAAUUCAGAUACUUACACUGGAUGGUGAAUAGCCAUUGCCCCAGACUGUCUCAAGCAUACCUCUCUGCUCCAGCCCUCCACUGGAACCCACCCCUCCACCUCUCCAUGGUCCAGUGGUUAAAGGGCAAACUAUGACACUCAGGAAGCCUCCAGGACUUAGCUACAGCUAAGACAAGUUGCCCUCAUGUUGGUCAGUGUUUCCUCUACUGGAUCUUAGGUAUUUUACUUAUUCCUCUGGGACCUGGGUAUAGAACAAGCUAGGGCAGAGCUCAAUGAGAUUAUCAAGAGAAAUGGAAAGGUCAAAACCACUGCUUUCUCUGGCAGGUGGAAUGAAGGAGCAACUGGCUACUUAACUUUCUUGCACGGGAGUCAAGAACCUUUCUGUUUUCUUCAUUCUCCUGGGUUCCCCCACCAAGAUGAAAUGUUCACCUAGCCAUUCAUCAGACAUCAUUUCUUGAAUUAAUUUAGCAACUAUUUAUUGAGCACCUAUUAUGUGCCAGGCCCUGUGAUAGGCACUAGGAAACAGUGAAGAAGCAGGCUGAGUCCCUACCCUUCCAGAACUUUGUCUACCUAAUGGGAGAGACAGAGAAGUAAAUAGAUAAUCAUAACUUUAGUAGUGCUGACAUAAGGACAGGGGUGUUAGUACCUAAUCUCUUCCUUUUUUUUUUUUUAAGAUUUUUUUGGGAACCCCUGGCUGGCUCAGCAGUUUAGCACCUGCCU